rnacentral:rRNA from 1 species
AGCAGUCGCCGCGGUAAUACGGAGGGGGCUAGCGUUGUUCGGAAUUACUGGGCGUAAAGCGCACGUAGGCGGCUUGGUAAGUUAGAGGUGAAAGCCCGGAGCUCAACUCCGGAAUUGCCUUUAAGACUGCCGAGCUAGUAGGUGAGAGAGGUAAGUGGAAUUCCGAGUGUAGAGGUGAAAUUCGUAGAUAUUCGGAAGAACACCAGUGGCGAAGGCGGCUUACUGGCUCAUUCUAGACGCUGAGGUGCGAAAGCGUGGGGAGCAAACAGGAUUAGAUACCCGAGUAGUCCCUGUCUCUUAUAC